GACAGAGGAUGCAAGCGUUAUCCGGAAUCAUUGGGUUUAAAGGGUCCGCAGGCGGUUCUAUAAGUCAGUGGUGAAAUCUCUCGGCUCAACCGAGAAACUGCCAUUGAUACUGUAGGACUUGAAUUCGGUCGAAGUGGGCGGAAUAUGACAUGUAGCGGUGAAAUGCUUAGAUAUGUCAUAGAACACCGAUAGCGAAGGCAGCUCACUAGGCCUGGAUUGACGCUCAGGGACGAAAGGCGUGGG
rnacentral:rRNA from 1 species